GGAUUUGAAAGUAAAUAGGCUUUGACAUCUGUCACCCACUGAUCAGUGGGACUAAUUCAGGUGAUGUGGCUGGCUAGGCAGAUGUCCCUUUCGCCCUUCCCACUCCAUGCACAUCCUGCAUGAAGCUGUGCACUUGACUGAAGAGAAUGGUGGCCUUCCCCAAAGAGAGGAGAAACAGUCUGUCUUAAAUGAUUCAUAGCAUCUGUUUUUAAAACUAAUAAAGCAUAAACCAGUAUCAUGAGCUACUUUCUUGAUGAAGAAAUUGUAGGAUAGU
ensembl:misc_RNA 7SK 7SK RNA